GGACCGCCUUCGCCUGAGCGCUGUGCUUUGAGUUUGGAGCAGGUGACCAGGCCUGGGUCUCCCUCGGUCGGGUGGCGAGACUCACGGAGCACACGGAUGAAGAAAAUGAGACGCAGAGAAGAGAAGGAUUUCUUCAAGGUCACACAGUGAAUAUGUCACAGCCAGAACUAGAACUCAGGCCUCUUCACAAAUGGCUUGGUGGCCUACCCGUUACACAUGGACCCCGAAGUCCCUUAGGGGUUUCCUGUGCCCUGCUGGUGCCUGGCCACGAUGAUGAGUUGGCAGUGGUCUCUGUUCCUGGGGUGUCUCUGGCUCCGGAAGCAGAAAGAAGGGUGAUGGCCUAGGAUGGUGUAAAUUGAGGAGCCUCAAGCAAGUCAUUUCCUUUCUCUGGACUUCAGUUUUCGCUCAUUUAAAAUAAUUGGCUGGCCUGAGUGGUUUCUUGGCCCUCUCUAGCUCUAAAGUUUAUGUGUUCACAUCGAGGGACUGGGACUGACAGGUCGAUGAGACGUCCUUGUGACCCCAUGUAGUGAAUGGGUGGUGAUGCUCGGUGGGAGGCAUAUUAGCUUCCUAUUGCCGCUCUGUCACCACCAACCUAGCGGCUUGAAACAGUAAAUGCUUCCUUUCCUACCGUUCUGGAGGUCAGAAGUCUGACGGGUCUCACUGGGCUACAGUCGAGGUGUCUGCAGGGCUCGGGCUCUCGGGGACAAUCUGUUUCCUUGCCAUUUCUAGAGGCUGCCUGCGUUCCUUGGGCUCAUGGCCCCGUUCCUUUUUCAAAGCCAGCAACAGCAGGUUGAGUCCCUCCUGACUGGCCGCCUCUAUUUUUUCUUCUGCCUCCCUCUUGCGCUGUGUGAUUACAGUGGACCUACACCGAUAAUCCAGGCUAAUCUCCCCAUGUUAAUGCCAUCUAAUUAGCAACCUUAAUUCUACCCGGAACCUUAAUUCCCCCUGGCCAUCUAAGGUAACCUAUUCUCAGGGACUGGGAAUUAGGAUGGGGACAUCUUUUGGGGCCAUUAUUCUGCCUCCUCCCAGAGGACUGGGGAACCCCUUAGCAAAGGAGUCCCAAGACCUUAGCAUAUCCAGGGGCACCUGGGUGGCUCAGUCGGUUAAGUGGCUGCCUUCGGCUCGGGUCAUGAUCCCAGGGUCCUGGGAUUGAGCCCUGCAUCGGGGUCCCUGCUCCGCAGGAAGCCUGCUUCUCCCUCUCCCAUUCCCCCUGCUUGUGUUCCCUCUCUCGCUGUGUCUUUCUCUGUCAAAUAAAUAAAUAAAAUCUUAAAAAAAAAAAAAGACCUUAGCAUAUCCAGAGGUCAACUGGGCUGGUAAAUUUAGGUUUCCUUUGCCAGUCAGGACCUGACACAGUGCAGGGGCAUCUGUGGGGCGAGGGGGCCCUAUGCAGUAUGUGUGAGUGUGGGUGUGCGCCCAUCAGGCAGAUGGAAAGAUCUGAGUUGCAGGAAGGAAUGGCGAGCAAAGGAAGUAGUAUCCGUGUCACAUGCUCUAAGCAAACUAGUGAUGAUGACGAUGUCACUUAAUUUGUGGUUAAAUCAAGCAAAACAAACAGCCAAGUACCACAAAAAGCAAAACACAAAAAAACCCAGCUAGAGUAAAUGCUCUACAAUCCUUGUCUUGCUCAGGAGGAGGGUGAAGAUACUGAUAACUGUAAUAUUCUUUAACUUACGGAAAUUUUCAAGCAUUACAAAAGUAAAGGUCAUGGUAUAAAGAACUCUAACCCGAUUUACCCUUAAUAUAUGAUGAAUCAUAUCUCCACACCAAUUUUUCACUCCACCUCCCACACUGUGGAUCAUUUUGAAGAAAAUUCUGAACAUCAGUGUUCAUUAAGGUUAGAUUUUGCUAGGUUAGGUAUAUAUAAAUAAAUAUAUUUAUAUUCUUAUAUAUAAUAUAUAAUAUAUGUAUAUUUAAUAUUAUAUUUAUUAUAUAUUAUAUUUUUAUUUUUAUAUAAGUAUAUUUUAUAUAUAUAAAAUGUAUAGGGUAAAAAGAGGAUAUAAUAGUGGAUAUAAAGAAAUGGAACGGGGAAAAAUAAUCAUUACAGAAGAAAGCGUGACAGGGGCGCCUGGGUGGCUCAGCCAUUAAGCGUCUGCCUUCGGCUCAGGUCAUGAUCUCAGGGUCCUGGGAUCGAGCCCCGCAUCGGGCUCCCUGCUCUGCGGGGAAACGCGCUUCUCCCUCUCCCACUCCCCCUGCUUGUGUUCCCUCUCUUCUGUGUCUCUCUCUGUCAAAUAAAUAAAAUUAGAAAAAAAAAAACGUGACAGAAAGAAAAUCGUCAUGGAAAUGGUAGAACAAAUUGGAAGUAUACAAUAAGAUGGUUGAAAUAAAUCCAAAUAUAAAUUCCUUAUAAUAAAUGUAAAUGGACGAAAUGGUUCUGUUAAAAUACAAAAUUUCAGACUGGAUUUAAAACCCAGCUAUAUGGGGGCGCCUGAGUGGCUGGUUCGGUGAAGCGUCUGACUCCUGAUCUCAGCUCAGGUCUUGAUCUCAGGGUUGUGAGU